GACGAACGCUGGCGGCGUGCUUAACACAUGCAAGUCGAACGGCAAGGCCCUGCUUUUGUGGGGUGCUCGAGUGGCGAACGGGUGAGUAACACGUGAGUAACCUGCCCUUGACUUUGGGAUAACUUCAGGAAACUGGGGCUAAUCUCGUAUAGGAGCUCCUGCUGCAUGGUGGGGGUUGGAAAGUUUCGGCGGUUGGGGAUGGACUCGCGGCUUAUCAGCUUGUUGGUGGGGUAGUGGCUUACCAAGGCUUUGACGGGUAGCCGGCCUGAGAGGGUGACCGGCCACAUUGGGACUGAGAUACGGCCCAGACUGCUACGGGAGGCAGCAGUGGGGAAUAUUGCACAAUGGGAGGAAGCCUGAUGCAGCAGCGCCGCGGGCGGGAUGACGGCCUUCGGGUUGUAAACCGCUUUCGCCUGUGACGAAGCGUGAGUGACGGUAAUGGGUAAAGAAGCACCGGCUAACUACGUG
rnacentral:rRNA from 1 species